AAGCUUUCUAUAAGCAGACUAGAGGUUUUGUGCAGAGAUAAAAUGAACGUGUUAGUGGAUUCAAGUAAUACACUAAUUAUUGCACAGUAUAAAUACCACUACUGGUUUUAUAACAGGGAGGUAAACUUCUUUUGAGAGGGUUAUAGGAUUGCUUGGCAGUGGUGUAGAACCUAAUAAGGGCCCAGAGUAAUAACCCCCUGGAUUAACAAAAUUGCUGCUUGUA
rnacentral:lncRNA from 1 species